ACAGAUUACCUCAGCUCUGGUCAAAUAACUGACAGGUCCAUGUCUCUGAGAUCUUUUACAGUCGGGCUGCUAGGUUUCGAAAAGCUUUGGGAUGAUGGAGAUUUUGUUUUCACAAUUAAGCAGCUUGCCAUUCAAGUGCUCUGUAAUAAUGAAGGACAAGGAAUUCACUGGAAUCAUAUAUUUACCAUAAUCCCCGUAACCACCUUUUCCUGUGGAGCAAACAGAUUGGUGUUAACUCUGACCGCUUCUCUAGUGAACUGAAAGCCCUCAGCCUGGGCAGUUGCUGCCUGAGCCCCCGUGGACAACAUUCCAAAUCUUUUGAACCUGCCAAUGUGUGACUGUUCUAAACGGACAGAUGACCUCAGCUCUGGUCAAAUAACUGACAGGUCCAUGUCUCUGAGAUCACCCUAGCUUUCACAGUCGGGCUGCUAGGUUUCGAAAAGCUUUGGGAUGAUGGAGAUUUUGUUUUCACAAUUAAGCAGCUUGCCAUUCAAGUGCUCUGUAAUAAUGAAGGACAAGGAAUUCACUGGAAUCAUAUAUUUACCAUAAUCCCCGUAACCACCUUUUCCUGUGGAGCAAACAGAUUGGUGUUAACUCUGACCGCUUCUCUAGUGAACUGAAAGCCCUCAGCCUGGACAGUUGCUGCCCGAGCCCCCGUGGACAACAUUCUUUUAAACUGCCAAUGUGUGACUGUUCGAAACGGACAGAUUCUUUCAGCUCUGGUCAAAUAACUGACAGGUCCAUGUCUCUGAGAUCACCCUAGCUUUUACAGUCGGGCUGCUAGCUUUCGAAAAGCUUUGGGAUGAUGGAGAUUUUGUUUUCACAAUUAAGCAGCUUGCCAUUCAAGUGCUCUGUAAUAAUGAAGGACAAGGAAUUCACUGGAAUCAUAUAUUUACCAUAAUCCCCGUAACCACCUUUUCCUGUGGAGCAAACAGAUUGGUGUUAACUCUGACCGCUUCUCUAGUGAACUGAAAGCCCUCAGCCUGGGCAGUUGCUGCCUGAGCCCCCGUGGACAACAUUCCAAAUCUUUUGAACCUGCCAAUGUGUGACUGUUCUAAACGGACAGAUGACCUCAGCUCUGGUCAAAUAACUGACAGGUCCAUGUCUCUGAGAUCACCCUAGCUUUCACAGUCGGGCUGCUAGGUUUCGAAAAGCUUUGGGAUGAUGGAGAUUUUGUUUUCACAAUUAAGCAGCUUGCCAUUCAAGUGCUCUGUAAUAAUGAAGGACAAGGAAUUCACUGGAAUCAUAUAUUUACCAUAAUCCCCGUAACCACCUUUUCCUGUGGAGCAAACAGAUUGGUGUUAACUCUGACCGCUUCUCUAGUGAACUGAAAGCCCUCAGCCUGGACAGUUGCUGCCCGAGCCCCCGUGGACAACAUUCUUUUAAACUGCCAAUGUGUGACUGUUCGAAACGGACAGAUUCUUUCAGCUCUGGUCAAAUAACUGACAGGUCCAUGUCUCUGAGAUCACCCUAGCUUUUACAGUCGGGCUGCUAGCUUUCGAAAAGCUUUGGGAUGAUGGAGAUUUUGUUUUCACAAUUAAGCAGCUUGCCAUUCAAGUGCUCUGUAAUAAUGAAGGACAAGGAAUUCACUGGAAUCAUAUAUUUACCAUAAUCCCCGUAACCACCUUUUCCUGUGGAGCAAACAGAUUGGUGUUAACUCUGACCGGUAAGGAUACUUUGGAA